GUGCUUGCUUUGGCAGCACAUACACUAAUACUGGGAUGAACCAGAAAAGAUUAGCAUGACCCUGUAUAAGGAUGGCAUGCGAAUUCGUGAAGCAUUCCAUAUUUUU